rnacentral:rRNA from 1 species
GGGGAAUAUUGGACAAUGGGCGAAAGCCUGAUCCAGCCAUGCCGCGUGUGUGAAGAAGGUCUUCGGAUUGUAAAGCACUUUAAGUUGGGAGGAAGGGUUUCUGGCUAAUAUCCAGGAAUUUUGACGUUACCGACAGAAUAAGCACCGGCUAACUUCGUGCCAGCAGCCGCGGUAAUACGAAGGGUGCAAGCGUUAAUCGGAAUUACUGGGCGUAAAGCGCGCGUAGGUGGUUCGUUAAGUUGGAUGUGAAAGCCCCGGGCUCAACCUGGGAACUGCAUCCAAAACUGGCGAGCUAGAGUAUGGCAGAGGGUGGUGGAAUUUCCUGUGUAGCGGUGAAAUGCGUAGAUAUUCGGAAGAACACCAGUGGCGAAGGCGGCCAACUGGCUCGAUACUGACGCUGAGGUGCGAAAGCGUGGGGAGCAAACA